AUCAAAAAUCUUUCCUUUCAGCUUCCAGAAUAUAUAAUUUCCCAACUAAAUCAACUGCCGUUAAUGGAAUAUUAUUUUCCCAACGUUAAUUCCAUUUUAAAUGUUUGUUUUCUAAUUACAAGAACAUCCAUAGUCACGCAUAGCAACGAUCCUAUAUCUUAGGUCCUUGAUAUAGAACGUGAAUUUUUACUCAAUAAAUAACUUGUAGAGCCAUUGGGAGCAGCAACCAGCACUGCACCAGUCGCCCUCUGCUAAUUAGGAAGCAACUACACCCUCGCCCCUAAUUAGAUAGCAGUAAUUAACGAGCAACUACACCCUCGCCCCUAAUUAGAUAGCAGUAAUCAGCACCGAGAUAAGAGAGGUGCGGGCGCCAAGGCACGACCACACGAGAUCAGUGCGACGCCUAAUUAAUGCAUAAUUGCUGAUCAGGAAAAUGAUGCUGAAGACCUUACCAGUCCUGGUGGUUCUGCUGCUGGCCGUUCAGACAGGCCAGGGACAAUGUCCAGAUAUCGAAGAAAAAUUUUCUGAACAUGAGCAAUCUUUCAAGCGACUUCAUACAAGUUUGUUGUCUACCGCCAAGGAACUGCAGCUUGCGGCGGAACAAAUUUCUUCUGCCUUCGGUCUGGACCGGAAUAACGACCACGGAGAAGAUGACUUCGCUUUCGCCUAUAACAAUGAUGGUUCCGGGGACGACAUUCCAGUAGAUUCACAUGACGGAGGUUCAGGUGAUGAGCCUUCAUCGCCACAGAUCUUUUGGAGAAUACCAUGAACAUGGAUGUGUGGAAUUUGAGUCAAGAAAACAGAACAUGAACCAAGCAUCGUCGAAUGGUGAACAUCCGUAGCGAAGUGUACGAAAUUCCACAAGUGGUGGUGGUUUAUUGUGAUUUUAUUCUUAACGUGUGAUUAAUAUGAUUAUUUUUUAGCAAUGCCAGUGGCAACAAUGCUGCCAGAUGAUCCGUCAUGUUAUUGGUACAGGAACAAGCCAUUGCGGCGCCUAAUUACCGAUAAACGAUCAAAAUCAAAGUAUAAAAUCACUCAAGUUUAGGAGUCAAGGAAUUAUAAGGAAGAAAAUGACGCACAAUGCAAUGCGCACUCGACAACCGAACGCCAACCCAAAAACCGAAAAAAUACUUUUGCUAUUUUUAGUUUAUUUCAUUAACAUUGAAUCCAAGAAAUGUACGAGAAUAAUGCACUCAGAGAAAAUAAAUGGGUUAUUUUGUCCAAAUAGUGACUUACUUUCUAAACACACAGCACGAGCAGAGA